GGAAAGAUGGCUCAAUGGUUAAGAGCACUGACUUACUAUUCCAGAGGACUUAGGUUCAAAUCCCAGUAUCCA
rnacentral:tRNA from 1 species